rnacentral:rRNA from 1 species
GACGAACCGUACGAACGUUAUUCGGAAUUACUGGGCUUAAAGGGUUUGUAGGCGGCCUUGUAAGUCAGGUGUGAAAUCCCUCGGCUCAACCGAGGAAUGGCGCUUGAUACUGCAAGGCUUGAGGGAGACAGGGGUAAGCGGAACUGAUGGUGGAGCGGUGAAAUGCGUUGAUAUCAUCAGGAACACCGGUGGCGAAAGCGGCUUACUGGGUCUCUUCUGACGCUGAGGAACGAAAGCUAGGGGAGCGAACGG